rnacentral:rRNA from 1 species
AUGAUUUAUUAAAUGGCCGCGGUAUCUUGACCGUGCAAAGGUAGCAUAAUCAUUAGUCUAUUAAUUGUGGACUAGUAUGAAUGGUUGGACGAAAUAUUUACUGUCUCAUAUUUUUAUAUAUAAUUUAAAUUUUUAGUUAAAAUGCUUAAAUUAUCUUAUAGGACGAGAAGACCCUAUAGAUCUUUAUUUACAUUUGUUUUUAAAAUUUUUGGAUUAUUUAUUUUUAAAAAUUUAUUGUUUAUUUUGUUGGGGUGACGUGGGGAUAUAUAGAACUCUUUAUUUUUUAUAUCAUUGAUUUAUGUAUAAUUGACCUUUUAUUAUUGUUUUAAGAUUUAGAUACCUUAGGGAUAACAGCGUAAUUCUUUUUGAGAGUUCAUAUCGACAAAAGAGAUUGCGACCUCGAUGUUGGAUUAAGAUUAUAAUUAGGUGUAGUCGCUUAAUUGUUAGGUCUGUUCGACCUUUAAAUUCUUACAUGAUCUGAGUUCAAACCGGAGA